GGGUUCAUGGCCUAAUGGUAAGGCGUCAGAUUUCGGUUCAUUUGCCACUACUCUGAAGAUUGCAGGUUCGAUCCCUGCUGAGCUCG